GUUGAUGAUGAUUAUACCACAACUUUUCACGACGGUCUUCUGUUGUUAUUCAAGGACAUGUUAAUCCUUGAAUAUUGAUGACAAUUUCGGCCUUGACCGGCCGUGGUUCCUGAUU
rnacentral:snoRNA from 1 species